GAUGAACGCUGGCGGCGUGCCUAAUACAUGCAAGUCGAGCGAACAGACGAGGAGCUUACUCCUCUGACGUUAGCGGCGGACGGGUGAGUAACACGUGGAUAACCUACCUAUAAGACUGGGAUAACUUCGGGAAACCGGAGCUAAUACCGGAUAACAUGUUGAACCGCAUGGUUCAACAGUGAAAGACGGCCUUUCUGGCACUUAUAGAUGGAUCCGCGUCGCAUUAGCUAGUUGGUAAGGUAACGGCUUACCAAGGCAACGAUGCGUAGCCGACCUGAGAGGGUGAUCGGCCACACUGGAACUGAGACACGGUCCAGACUCCUACGGGAGGCAGCAGUAGGGAAUCUUCCGCAAUGGGCGAAAGCAUGACGGAGCAACGCCGCGUGAGUGAAGAAGGUCUUCGGAUCGUAAAACUCUGUUAUUAGGGAAGAACAAAUGUGUAAGUAACUAUGCACGUCUUGACGGUACCUAAUCAGAAAGCCACGGCUAACUACGUG
rnacentral:rRNA from 1 species